UACGUAGGGGCGAGCGUUGUCCGGAAUUAUUGGGCGUAAAGGGCGCGUAGGCGGCUUUACGAGUCAGUAGUGGAAGUCCCAUUUUCAAGGUGGGGAGGGCUAUUGAAACUGUAGGGCUUGAGUGCAGGAGAGGUUAUCGGAAUUCCCGGUGUAGCGGUGAAAUGCGUAGAGAUCGGGAGGAACACCAGUGGCGAAGGCGGGUGACUGGACUGUAACUGACGCUGAGGCGCGAAAGUGUGGGGAGCAAACAGGAUUAGAUACCCGGGUAGUCCCUGAGCGGGCUGG
rnacentral:rRNA from 1 species